CGCCGCGCCCACGUCAUGGGUUGUCCGGGAAACCGGACCGAAGAGGGAAGGAGGUGCGAUACCUCCGCUGCCCCCGCAACUGUGACCGGGGAGCGAUCCCGCCACAUGCCACUGGUCGAUCCGACCGGGAAGGCGGCGGGAAAGCGUCGAUCCGGGAGCCAGGAGACCUGCCCAGGACGGUCGUUCCGC
rnacentral:ncRNA from 2 species